rnacentral:rRNA from 1 species
GGACCCGCACAAGCAGUGGAGCAUGUGGUUUAAUUCGACGCAACGCGAAGAACCUUACCAGCGUUUGACAUGAGAAGUGCCGGUUACAGAAUGGUAACCUUCAGUUCGGCUGGCUUCUACACAGGUGCUGCAUGGCUGUCGUCAGCUCGUGUCGUGAGAUGUUGGGUUAAGUCCCGCAACGAGCGCAACCCUUAUCGUUAGUUACUAACAGUUCGGCUGAGGACUCUAGCGAAACUGCCGGUGAUAAGCCGGAGGAAGGUGGGGAUGACGUCAAGUCCUCAUGGCCCUUACACGCUGGGCUACACACGUGCUACAAUGGUAACUACAACAGGAAGCAAGACUGCGAAGUUAAGCAAAUCCCUAAAAGAUACCUCAGUUCGGAUUGCACUCUGCAACUCGAGUGCAUG